rnacentral:rRNA from 1 species
UACGGGGGGGGCAAGCGUUGUUCGGAAUUACUGGGCGUAAAGGGCUCGUAGGUGGCCAACUAAGUCAGACGUGAAAUCCCUCAGCUUAACUGGGGAACUGCGUCUGAUACUGGAUGGCUUGAGUUCGGGAGAGGGAUGCGGAAUUCCAGGUGUAGCGGUGAAAUGCGUAGAUAUCUGGAGGAACACCGGUGGCGAAGGCGGCAUCCUGGACCGACACUGACACUGAGGAGCGAAAGCUAGGGGAGCAAACAGG